GAAGGAAGGGGAAACGCCUUCAUGUCAGCAAUGAGGGUGACUCUAGUGACGGAACUAGUCUUGGGUCCCUGGGGCACCACUAGCCUCUCGGCAUCGGUGGUUUCUCCUUACUCUUCAGACGCUGCCAACUCCAUCCCCCAGGGAUUGUGAAGGGGGUUCCUUCUGGCUGUGACAGUGCUGAACGAGGCCAGAGAGUGCAGCUGCCUGGAGGCACAAGCCUCCUCCUGAUCCAGGGGGCUCCAGGGAGACCAAAGCAGCUGUCAAGAUGAGAGAAAUUGAAAAAGAAAAUGGAAAACUCUCCAGCCUGGCUCUCAGCUUCUGCAUCUCCAUGCAAGACCAGAGACCCACAUCACUCCCUCACUCCACCCAGUUCCACUCCAACAAUACCUGGGCCCUGCCAGGAGUGAGAAAACGGUCCUCUUCCUGUGGAUAGGUUGCUCUCUCCUCUUCCAGAUCAGGGUAUUCAUUGGUGCUGGGGAAUCCACAGCCCUCUUCGCCAAGCACCACUGGCUCAGAUGCAGCCCCAGAGCUGCCCCACUGGGCCUUCUUCAGUCUGUGGAGACUUUAGGCUGAGGAGAGAAGUGCCUGGAGGCCAGGCUUCCUGUCUCUCCAUUCUUCACCUUUCUGUUCUGAAAUACUUCCUGCUGGGACUCCAGGGAGUUGUCAUUUGACCUUUAACCCUCCACUCCCAAUUUUCUGCUCCCCUCAGACUGAAGCAUAUUGUCUAGGAACCCAGAGGUGACCCCAACCUCCCCACUGUCCUCCAGUUCUAUGGUUUGCUUUCCUGUCUUCAGUGAUCUAGUUUCCACUCCUUCCAGCUCAUGUGGCUCAUCCUCCUUACUGCAGUUCCCUCCUUCUUUCCAUAUUACAGAAAUCUGUUUCAAUCACACCAAAGCCCACAGCUUCCUUCCAAGCAACCUCCCCUCAAAGCUCCCCUCAAACCUCCCCUCAAAGCUGUCAACCCCUUCCUUAGCUCAAACUGUUCUGCCCCCAAAUCCUGCAUGACUCCCAGAACCCAGAUGUCUCCCUUCCUUACUCGUUGAUGAUGCUCUGACGCCUUCUUAGGUCCUCCAGGUGGUAAGUGACAGCCCUCACCCGGGCGGGGACUCCCCCAAGGCCCUGCUGCUGCAUUCCUUCCAAACAUGGCCUCCUCUUCUUUCUUCUCCAAAGCAUUUCAGGGGGUGGGAGCUGCUCAGGAGGAUACAGACCAAGCUGGGAGCAACCAGUGGCUCUCUGUGCCAGAGAAUGGGGAAAAAGAGCUAGAAAGAAGAACUGGCUCUCUCAAGGGAGCUUGGAUUGAACUAGGUUCUUCCAGAAGACAUCUCCAUAACGCUGGGGCAUGGGUCUGAGGCUCUGGGAAGGCAACCUUGGGGGUGGAGAUCGGCUGACCACCCUGGAACACCUGAGGUGAGGACAAGGUGAUCUCACCCAGUACCAUGCUGUCAAUAAGCUGAUGACUCCCAAAUCUAUAUAUCCAGCCCUGGUUCCUCUCUGGGCUCCACUCAACAUCUCCUCCCCAACCUUCCUCCUCUCAAUGAAAAGCACUCAAAUGCCCAGUUGCUAAGACCAAAAACAUGGUAUGUCUCACUUUCCCUCACCUCCCACAUCUAAUCCAUCAGCAGUUCCUGUCAGUUUUACAUCUAAAAUACUGUGUACCUGAAUUUGACCACUCCUCAUCAUUCCCACUCCUACCACCAUAUAUUUCAGGUCAUCUUCCCCUUCCUGGACUGUUGCAAUGGUCUCUUCCCCCCGUCUCUGCUUCCAUUCCCAUCCCCCAACAAUAUAUUCUGCACAGAACUGUGAGAGAUGAUCAUACGAAAUAAUAUAAGGUUUGAGAUGUACUUCAAAAGAAUUUGAGAAAUAGGGGGCUAGAUGGGUAUAGAGAUGAAAAGAUUAUCCAUACAAUGAUAAUUAUUGAAGCUGACUGAAAAGGGUACAUGGGGUUCAUGAUACUAUUUUCUCUACUGUGUUUGUUUGAAAUUUUCCAUAAUAAAAAAAGUUGAAGGAAAAAAGGCUGGUCAUGUCACUCUCUGCCUUAAAACUUUUCCACUGAAUAAAAUCCAAACCGUUUUUUUUCUUCUUCUUUUUUGAGACAGUCUCACUCUGUCACCCAGGCUGGAGUGCAGUGACCCAAUUAUAGCUCACUGCAGCCUCAAAUUCCUGGGCUCAAGCAAUCCUCCUGCCUCAGCCUCCUGAGUGCUGGGACUACAGGCGUGUGCCACCAUGCCUGGCUAAUUCUUUUAAAUGUUUAUCAGAGAUGAGGUCUCACUAUGUUGCCCAGGUUGGUCUCCAAUUCCUGAGCUCAAGCAAUCCUCCCACCUUGGCCUCCCAAAGUGCUGUAAUUACAGGUGUGAGCCACCGCACCCGGCCUAUACUUGUUUUAUUUAUUUUUUCUUUCUUCUUCCUCUCCUCCCCUCUCCUCCCUUCCCCUCCCCUCCCCUCUUUUCCUUUUCUUUCUUCCAUUCUCUUUCUUUCUCUCCUUCUUUCCCUCCCUCCCUCCCUUCUUUCUUUUUAGAGACAGGGACUUGCUUUGUUGCCCAGGCUGGAGUGCAGUGCUGUAAUCAUAGCUCACUGCAGACUCAAACUCUUGGGCUCAAGCAAUCCUCCCACCUUGGCCUCCCAAA
rnacentral:lncRNA from 1 species